rnacentral:rRNA from 1 species
CGCGGCCUAUCAGCUUGUUGGAGAGGUAACGGCUCACCAAGGCAUCGACGGGUAGCUGGUCUGAGAGGAUGAUCAGCCACACUGGGACUGAGACACGGCCCAGACUCCUACGGGAGGCAGCAGUGGGGAAUCUUGCGCAAUGGGCGAAAGCCUGACGCAGCAACGCCGCGUGCGGGAUGAAGGCCUUCGGGUUGUAAACCCCUUUCAGCAGGGACGAAAAUGACGGUACCUGCAGAAGAAGCCCCGGUCAACUACGUGCCAGCAGCCGCGGUAAUACGUAGGGAGCGAGCGUUGUCCGGAAUUAUUGGGCGUAAAGAGCUCGUAGGCGGUUCAGUAAGUCGGGUGUGAAAACUCAAGGCUCAACCUUGAGACGCCACUCGAUACUGCUGUGACUUGAGUCCGGUAGAGGAGUGUGGAAUUCCUGGUGUAGCGGUGAAAUGCGCAGAUAUCAGGAGGAACACCAGCGGCGAAGGCGGCACUCUGGGCCGGUACUGACGCUGAGGAGCGAAAGCAUGGGGAGCAAACAGGAUUAGAUACCCUGGUAGUCCAUGCCGUAAACGUUGGGCACUAGGUAUGGGAUCAUAUCAACGGAUUCCGUGCCGUAGCUAACGCAUUAAGUGCCCCGCCUGGGGAGUACGG